UAAAUGAUGAGUAAAUGAUUAGAUGAGUACUAGUAGAAACUAGAGAUGGGACCGAUCCGAUACAAUAUCGGUAUCAGGGCCGAUACUGACUUAAUCCGACGAAUCGGAUAUCGGGCGGGCGCUGCCGAUCCACUUACCGAUCCAUAUUCCAGUCCAAAGCUUGAGCUGAACAAUAAAUCCGCCAUAACGUUAACACAAAACGCAUCCCUGAUCAGGAUUCCAGUUUAACAGUUUACCCUGAACCCCCAGCAGCUUCAGUCUGCGGGUGACUGAGUAACUUUAGCUGUUUAUCUACAAAAAAAGUCCAUUAUCUGGAGAGUUUUCACUUUGGAAACGCUGUACAGCAGAACGGUACACGUAAAGUCAGCGUCUGAGAGGUGUGUGAUUGGUGGGCCAGUGGACCUCGUUGUGGACGCUGAUCCGUGAUUGGUGGCUCUGCAGGGUGAAGGGGAAGGAGCUGACCUGCAGAACCAGAACGUUCUCUGCGUCUAGAACCUCAGAACAGUUCACCACGCGGUCCGCCAGACCCUGCAGCUCCCCGUGAGACGCCGAGCCCGACAUAGAACUGAGAGCGAGAGAAAGAGAGCUGUUAGGAAGCUCCACUGAUCGUAUAUAAAACCUGUGAUUAUGGAAUGGAAGUCAGAAAUGAGAAAGGUGUAAUGUAGUGAUCAGUACCCGGUCAGGUCCACGUGUGAGUUGUCGUGGAUCAGGACGAACAGCGUGUACGGG